UGGUGGAAAGUGGCGAACGGGUGAGUAACACGUGAGAAACCUGCCCCAAAGAUUGGGAUAAGCCUUGGAAACGAGGUCUAAUACCAAAUACCUUCUUUUAACACAUGUUAAAAGAGAAAUGCUCCGGCGCUUUGGGAUGGUCUCGCGAUCUAUCAGCUUGUUGGUGAGGUAACGGCUCACCAAGGCAUCGACGGAUAGCUGGCUGAGAGGAUGUCCAGCCACAUUGGAACUGAGACACGGUCCAAACUCCUACGGGAGGCAGCAGUAGGGAAUCUUGCACAAUGAGGGAAACCUUGAUGCAGCGACGCCGCGUGCGGGACGAAGGCCCUAGGGUUGUAAACCGCUUUCAGUAGGGACGAAAGUGACGGUACCUACAGAAGAAGCCCCGGCCAACUAUGUG
rnacentral:rRNA from 1 species